CCCUUAGAUGUUCUGGGCAGCGCGCGCGCUACAAUGGUCUUCGCAAACGGAUGCAUUCUCGAAGGAGAAUGCCAAUCUUGGAAUCUAUGCCUUGGUCGGGACAGUUGCUUGCAAUUUUUCGACUAACCAGGAAUUCCUUGUAAUCGUGAUUCAUCACAUCACGAUGAAUACGUCCCUGCCCUUUGUACACACCGCCCGUCGCUCCUACCGAUCGAAGAGUUAGGUGAAUUGUUUUGAUCGAUAAGAUUUGACUGUGGUCAACUCUCGUUGUGAAAUUCUGUGAAUCUGACUGUUUAGAGGAAGGAAAAGUCGUAACA
rnacentral:rRNA from 1 species